CAGAAGAUGGAGUAGGUUCCCAAAUAUCAUCAUGUCGACACCCCAUCUUAUCCAUCAAUCUUUUGAUACUUAACUCAAACUUUUUGAUACCGGACUCAACUUUCCUUCCAAUGUUGUUCACCUUCUUUAAUUUUCGCAAAUCAUCCUUAACUGAUUCCAACGUCGUCGCUCCCCCCGAACUAGAUGAAGUAUCAUAACUCCCUCGAGAUGUAGGCGGAGGAGCAGAGCUAGAAGCUGCUCUCGGUGGAGGCGCUGGGCUAGAUGCUUCAGGAGGUGCCCCUUUGGUCUGAUGGAAUGACUUGAGAGUGCUAACAGACUUAGCCCAAGUCACUGAGUCAAUAGGCCCAAGGCCAACAUCAUACUUGUCACAAGAUNUCCGAGCCUCUAGGGUUUCUCAAACAUGUAUUCUUGUGAUGCUUAAUCAAUUAGAGAACCCCUAUAGCUUAUUUAUAGACUUUAGAAUCAAAACAGAGUAGGAUUAGAAAGUUUCUUUCCAAAAUCAGCACCUUGUACCGGAACAAGGAAAGCUGUCCAGGGUACACCAUGACGGAAGAUUUUUCUGCGAAGCUCCUGUACCCUGGAUAGCUUCAGCUUGUUCCGGAACAGGGCUUGUACCGGUACAGCGUGAAGCUUGUACCGAAACAACCAUCAAACUGUCUGCGCAAAUGUUGAUGGCUGUACCCUGGACAGAAAACCCUUGUACCGGAACAACCAUCAAACUUUCUGCGCAAACGUUGAUGGCUGUACCCUGGACAGAAAACCCUUGUACCGGUACAGCAAUGCAAUUUUCGCUGAAAAUGCAUUGUUUUGGAUUUUACAAACUCUUAGAAACUUUCUAAUCAAUUACAACUUGAAAAUAUGAUUCUAAUAUCUAUAAUUAAGUAUGAAUCACCAUAAACAAGAUUUAAAGCUUACCUACGCAUCGUGAUUCAUGUUUUACGUGUUUUGCGUCCUUUCCGAUUCUUCGAAGUCUUGGAUUCUUCGAUCUUCAAUACUCCGCUCCGAACUUCUUCAAGACUCCUACUCGACCCACGAAACUUGCCAACACAUAGGACCUAACAAUCUCCCCCUUUGGCAAUUUCGUGACAAAACACACACAAACUCACAAAUUACAAUUUAAAGAAAAAACGAAGUUCAAUGUCAUCACCAAAACAUCGAACCCCUCGCGUGUAAUCCAAAUACAAUAUGAAACUCAAAAUUACAUCAAAACUCCUAAAAUAGACUCUAUGACUUAGACGCAACUAGGAGUCUUGAAGUCUUGAUUUCCUGCAAAACACUUCAUUCAAAAAUGAUUAGCACUAAAUUCUUAUACCUUCUCCCCUUUUGUUCACAUCUCCUCCUUUGUUCUUGAACUUAUCAUCCUCUGCUUCAGUGUCAAAGCCUGCUCAUCCAUGCUCUCUCCCUUCAUCUACGCUCUCCCCCUUCAUCCAUGCUCUCCCCCUUCAUCUACGCUCUCCCCCUUUUUGUCAAAAAUUGCCAAAAGAAAGCAAAUAGAAAGAGAAAACAUACUAGAAAAACAUGAGAAUAGUUUAGUCAGAGCUACAGGCCUAAACGAAAGUAAAAACAUACUACAGAAAGAUAAGCAAGCAAAUCUAAAAACAUCGUCCUAAACAUCAAAUGCAGUGAAAGAAAGAGACUAAGCUCGACGAAGAAAUCACUCUGUGUCCUCAUCAUCAUCAUCAUCAUCUCCAGCACCAGCUCCAGAACCUCCAGCCUCAGGAGCAUCACCAGACGGUGGAAUGAAAGGAUGUCGUGAAGAUGACCGCUGAUACGAAGCAGAAGAUGGAGUAGGUUCCCAAAUAUCAUCAUGUCUUCACCCCAUCUUAUCCAUCAAUCUUUUGAUACUUAACUCAAAUUUCUUGAUGCCGGACUCAACUUUCCUUCCAAUGUUGUUCACUUUCUUCUUUAACUUUCGCAAAUCUUUCUUAACUGAUUCCAAUGUCGUCGCUUCCUCCGAACUAGAUGAAGUAUCAUAACUUCCUCGAGAUGUAGGCGGAGGAGCAGAACUAGAAGCU
rnacentral:lncRNA from 1 species